GUUUUACAUGGCAGAAUUUCUUCGUCAGUGCAAGGAUCCGGUAGCAAAAAGAGAUCGACGGAGUUCUCUUGUGUGGUCAUACAUGAAACUCCCUGGAGACGGUUUGCCCUCCAUCACUAUCGGUUAUGUUAUGCGUGGACAAGUUCCGUCCGUUCAGCUUGAAAAUCUCGUGACGAAGCCGUAGACAUAAAGGAUACUUGAAGAUUGGCUACUAUGGAUGCGCGUGAAAUCAACUAAAGGGCACUGCGGAAAUUCGAUCUGAAUGUGACGUCACGGGAAGUACGAUAUGUAGGUGACGUCACAGCGAAGGUACUGUCUAAAUAUGAAGUCACGUGAAUGAACACUUAUACCCAGUUUGACGUAAACUUCAUAGGAUCAACACUCUCGUGAGUUAUAUUAUUAUAUGAACUUUCCGGCUCAAAGUAAUUUGAGACCAAACUGUACAGUCUAAUAUUCAUUCCUACAUUUGCGAUGAAGUAUUGUGGGCAAACUAGUAAGGUAUGGGUCAUUCUCGGCAAGAGAACAUGGUCAAUUUACCUUGAAGUAGAGUCUUCAAAGCACGUCAAGAGGGUUCCAUUGUUACGAUCAGUAAGUAUGUAAGUACCUUAAAUGUAUUGUAAGUUAGGCCAGGUUUAAAUCUGAAUACCAGCCUUUGCCCAAUUCACUAAGGACAAUAGCGUCUUAGUCUGGACUAAAGUUAAUACCGGGCUUAAGUGCUAAUACACUUUUGAAUAACUAGGCCCAGUUUUUCAUUAAGCCUCGAAUGUGAUGAUAAUGGU